UCGAGUUCAACUUCAAGUGAAACUGCGAACGGCUCAUUAGAGCAGAUGUCAUUUAUUCGGAAAGACGAAUUGGAUAACUGCGGUAAUUCUGGAGCUAAUACAUGCGAUAAAACCCUGACUUUUGAAAGGGUGCAGUUAUUAGAGCAAAUCAAUCAUCUACGGAUGUAGUUUGCUGACUCUGAAUAACGCAGCAUAUCGGCGGCUUGUUCGCCGAUAUUCCGAAAAAGUGUCUGCCCUAUCAACCUGAUGGUAGUCUAUUAGUCUACCAUGGUUAUUACGGGUAACGGAGAAUAAGGGUUCGACUCCGGAGAGGGAGCCUUAGAAACGGCUACCACAUCCAAGGAAGGCAGCAGGCGCGAAACUUAUCCAAUCUUGAAUAGAUGAGAUAGUGACUAAAAAUAAAAAGACCAUUCCUAUGGAACGGUCAUUUCAAUGAGUUGAUCAUAAACCUUUUUUCGAGUAUCAAGUGGAG
rnacentral:rRNA from 1 species